CCCAAAGCAAAUAAAUUUUUAUUAAGUCCAGUACCUUGCUUUUUAAAACAACACGAUAGCUUACAAAAGAAAUGAAGCUUUAGUACACACUCUUGGAAAUACCUUUUCAGAUGAUGGUGAAAAUAAUAAAACUGCAAUGAAAAUAAUGACACCCAUAAUAGGACACACUGGGUGCAUACAAUAUUCUCGGCACUAGGCUGAGCAACACAGUGGGUAUUUUACAUACACAUUCC
rnacentral:lncRNA from 1 species